CGCUGGACGAAGGAGGCUCGUCAAGGAAAACCAGCUGAACUUCCAUCGCUGCUCUGGAUCUUACUGGAGAACUCCUUAAAGUCCCUUCUGGAAUUUUAUUACUGGAAUUACGAAUUUGGAUGAAUUAUUCACGAGAGAUAUUAGUGCGUGCACACGGGUGAAGGAUUACAAACAACAACAUUGCGAUGAAUGUUUACGUUGUAAACAAAAGUGGAUCAUGAUGGCAACAUGUGAAGGAUUUAACAUAACCGCUGGGGAUCAUUUUGUGGAAUAUAAAGGAGUACUAACCUCUUUUAAGUCCAGCAUGGAGUCCGCUGGACCUCAGCGGACAUGUGGGACUCCCUUGGGAUACUCCUUCCUUAUUCUACAUGAAUAUUGUCGUGGAUGGGAUUGAAUACAAGGAAUGGAAUCUUGGAAUAUCUUGGAAUAUUUAGGUGGAUUGACUUCACGGAGCAUCUCCUGAUCAUGCAGUGAAGGCUUCCAAAUUCCAACAAGAAUGAGCUGUUAAUGGCUGUCACAGAUCAGAUGAUGAUAUCAGGUGAGCACGCUGGUAACCAGAUCUCUUGGAGUUCCCCAGGAACAGGCUAAAUCCUGGUUUUUGGAUUGUGCCGACGUGCACGACCGUCCGCAGAUGUUUUUAUCCUGGCAAGACGUCAGACAGCAUGUGCUACAUCACUGACAAUUUCGCCGUCAAGAUCCAGCGUCAGCUACUUUUGGACGAGGGGGAGAGAGAGAAGAUUUGACAUAAACCCAACAGGAACGGUGCAGAGGAUUCGAUUUCGCGGACAUUAUGAGAUAGAUCAGUCAAGUCCUGUCUGGAAGCUGGAAAAGCGAAGCCGAGUUGGGUGAAUGCGCUGUAAGCGUACCUUCGUUAACCACAACGGAUGGACAUAUUGUUUGACUUAUUCUACACUGAGCUUGGAUUAAUAUUUUCCCGUGCGGACAUCUGCUUUUCAUAGCUCAAACGCCGUCCAUGUCACAUCUACUGUGUUAUCCGGGAUACAUCAACAAGCGCUGGAACUGCAAAAGGAAAAUAAUCAGAAGUUAAUCCGAGCCAGUAUUUAGACCGCUUUGACUGGUCAAGACCAAAAAAAAAAAAACGUCACAUGCUUUGAAUUUUCAUUGCCAAUUAAUCUGAACUCAAUCCCUUGGUUUAGUGCAGUUGAAACAAAAUGAAUAAACUGUCAUCUGAUGUUCAAUGGAGUCAUAAAUGUUGAGGUUAGGAUGUGGAUUUAAAUGCCACUCAGCUACUAAGAAAACUUUAUGUUCCCAAUUAUGGCCUGGGGUUGUCUGGGAGACAUGAUAUUUUGCACUUAUUAUUGUCUUUGUAACAUUAUUGCUGUGUAUUUAUUUAUAUAUGUAUUCAAUUUUUGCUGUAAUUAAAAAUAAUCAUAUUAUGUGUUGACCUUUUUGCUUGUCUGCUUGUAUUUAAAAACAUCUAAUGUUACAUUUCUUUACCUCAAACAAAUAUAAUAUAUUAAGAAUAUCACUGAACCAAUAAUUGUAAAUAAAUAAUGUGGAAUAACACCACUGGUUCUAGUGUGAAAAAUAUUGUUUUUUUUAUUACAUUUUCAGUUUACCAUCAUAAAUGUCAUUAAACCAGUACAGUCGUCCCAUGGUUCCCAUAGACCUGACCAUGAAAAGUGAAAAGCCACGUUUACAUGGACCCAAAUAUUCCAAUUCCAUUCGGGUUAUUUGCUGAAACUGAAAGAAUUUAACUUUUGUAUACACCUCAUUCCGAAAGUGCCAAUCCGAAUGAAUAUAUAAUCGGAUUCACAGGGGUGGAAUAUUCCUUUCCCCAAUCCGAUUGAGGUAUCUUGUAACUGCUCAGACGGAAAGUUGUCGUUGUGUUUUUUCUUCUUCUGUCCCUUAUAUACUUUAUUCCGAAGUCUGUAUAAAUCUAUAUAAAACAUAUCCCAAGUUUAAUUAUAAAAUAUUAGCAAAAUUGAAUUUUGUCUUUGAAAUUGUAUCUUUUUUUAUUUUUUAUCUGUUUAAAUUAAUCCCGGGUGCGUUCUUCUAUGACGUAACACACAGUUCGAGACGUUCUUCGGUUUUAAAAAUGGAGGCCAGCAAUUGGCACUGG